UGGGGAAUUUUGGACAAUGGGGGAAACCCUGAUCCAGCCAUCCCGCGUGUGCGAUGAAGGCCUUCGGGUUGUAAAGCACUUUUGGCAGGAAAGAAACGUCGCGGGUUAAUACCCCGCGAAACUGACGGUACCUGCAGAAUAAGCACCGGCUAACUACGUGCCAGCAGCCGCGGUAAUACGUAGGGUGCAAGCGUUAAUCGGAAUUACUGGGCGUAAAGCGUGCGCAGGCGGUUCGGAAAGAAAGAUGUGAAAUCCCAGAGCUUAACUUUGGAACUGCAUUUUUAACUACCGGGCUAGAGUGUGUCAGAGGGAGGUGGAAUUCCGCGUGUAGCAGUGAAAUGCGUAGAUAUGCGGAGGAACACCGAUGGCGAAGGCAGCCUCCUGGGAUAACACUGACGCUCAUGCACGAAAGCGUGGGGAGCAAACAGGAUUAGAUACCCUGGUAGUCCACGCCCUAAACGAUGUCAACUAGCUGUUGGGGCCUUCGGCCUUGGUAGCGCAGCUAACGCGUGAAGUUGA
rnacentral:rRNA from 1 species